rnacentral:rRNA from 1 species
GAUGAACGCUGGCGGCGUGCUUAACACAUGCAAGUCGAACGGAAAGGCGCGGCUUUUGUGGCUUGCUCGAGUGGCGAAGGGGUGAGUAACACGUGAGUAUCCCGUCCUUGACUGUGGGAUAACUUCAGGAAACUGGGGCUAAUACAGGAUAGGAGCUCCUGGCGCGUGGUGGGCGAUGGAAAGAGACGGUGGUUGGGGAUGGUCUCGCGGGUUAUCAGCUUGUUGGGGUGGUAGUUGAUUACCAAGGCUUUGACGGAUAGGCCGCCUGGGAGGGGGACCAGGGACAUUGGGACUGUGAGACGCCCCAGUCACCUAUGGGAGGCAGCGGUGGGGAGUAUAGCGGAAUAGGGGGGAGCCUGUUACAAAGACGCCCCGUGCGGAAUGACGGGCUUCUGGUUGUGAACAGCUUUCGCAGGAGACAAGGCGUGAGUGACGGUACUGGGUAAAGAAGCAACGGCUAACUACGUG